UUGGUCGAAAAUGGCGAGGUC
rnacentral:piRNA from 1 species